UACAGAGGUCCCAAGCGUUGUUCGGAUUCACUGGGCGUAAAGGGUGCGUAGGUGGCCAGGUAAGUUUGGUGUGAAAGCUCGGAGCUUAACUCCGAAAAGUCAUUGAAUACUAUCUGGCUGGAGGGUCGGAGGGGAGACUGGAAUUCUCGGUGUAGCAGUGAAAUGCGUAGAUAUCGAGAGGAACACCAGUGGCGAAGGCGAGUCUCUGGACAACUCCCGACACUGAGGCACGAAAGCUAGGGGAGCAAACAGG
rnacentral:rRNA from 1 species